rfam:Ricinus communis cultivar Hale ctg_1100012360357, whole genome shotgun sequence.
AAUCCGUGAUGUGGGCAACAUCUCAAAAGAUCCUUAAACCUCUCCCAUGCAUCGUACAUGCUUUCAUCAUCAAAUUGCACAAAAGAAGAUAUGUCAUUUCUAAGUUU